UAGAGAGACACGCCCUCAACACCGGGCUGUGUGUAGCCAUGCUCGGCUUCACUUGCUCACCAGCGGGCGCCACCGGUAGCACCACCGGCAGGGAGCGGGACAGUGAAGAGUGGUAAGCCGGACGACGAGGCGAAGAGGAGGGCUCUCUCCGUCCUUCUGGCCGCCUGCCUGUCGAGCGUCGGAAGGUUCUCCACCUGCUACUUCGGCCAUGGACGCGUUAAAAAACGCCGGGAGGGCGAUUAUCAAGAGCCCCGGCGUCCCGCGGCACACCUGGGGAACUUCUAAGCACGAAAAGCUUCCGGAAAACUGGACAGACACCAAAGAGACGCUUUUGGAAGGCAUGGCGUUCAACGUCAAGUACUUGGGAAUGACGCUGGUGGGCCAGCCCAAAGGGGAGGACAUGGCGGCCGCCGCUAUCCGCAGGAUAGUGACUAUGGCUAGAGCUGGCGCUAAGAAGUUCCGGAAAGUGACGCUUACCAUCUCGCCCAAAGGCAUCGUCAUUACCGACACGGACACGGGCGACCUGGUGGAAAAUGUCUCCAUCUACAGAAUCUCAUACUGCACGGCAGACAAAAGCCAGGACAAAGUGUUUGCCUACGUGGCUCAGAGUCCCUUCAACGAGACGCUGGAAUGUCACGCCUUCCUCUGUCAAAAGAAGAAGAUUGCUCAAGCUGUAACUCUGACAGUUGCUCAAGCCUUCAAAGUAGCUUUGGAUCUUUGGGAGAUUGCUCAACAAGACAAAAGCAAAAAAGCGCUAAGCACGUGUUCCUCGUGCGCCGCCAGCAGUGAUGGACAUGCACAGAUGACUGAUAAUCCGUGUGUGGCCGCAGAAGCGACUGCGUGCACGUCUGUGGACGCCAACAAGAAGCCCCGUCGGCCGUUCCUGUCCACCUCCAUUAGCUCGCCCUCACCUCGCAGCAACCCCGCUCGCCGGCGAGCAUUCAAGCACGACUCCUGGGAUGUGGACGACGGACUGGACGAGCAUCUAUCAAGCUCCCUUGCGCACCAAACGAGUUAUUGACUCGUUGACGCUGACUUUGUUUGGUUUCCAUUAAAAAUGCAGCAGUAUGGAAGUGGAGGAAACAUGCAGCGAAUGGUGCAGUCCGACGCCUGAACAGUCAUUGGCAAUGCAGCUUUGAAGAUAUCCAGGACAAAAACAAUCACUCCUCGGCUACCGUUGACACGUCCAAUAUUGCCGUUCACGGCAGCUAAUGAAGCAUAGAGUGGUUGAACACAAACGAACAAGGACAACUCUGCUUUUUUGGCAUCUUGUCUUCCAAUCCAACGGGAAAAGAAACUCAAAAUUUGCUAUUUAAAUGUACACGCUUGUUAAAUAUUGUUUUCACAUGUAGUUUGUACAAACUUUGCUUUCUUACAUAUUUAUGCACAAUAAAAUGAUUUGUACAAAUGACUAGUGUAAUUUCUUAACUACAGUGGCAUAAAAAAGUAUCUGAAACUUUUGGAAUUUG